ACGACAGUCUCGUUUGUCGGUCGGGUGUGUCGUCAUCAAAUGACCUUUGACUGUCGUUACCAUCGUUACCACCCAAAAAAAGGAGGCGUGACCCAACAUCUUACCAUGCGUUGUUGUCCAGUUUUGCAGUUUCUUCAUAUCACAUACAUCUCCAGCUCCUACAACAACAUUCAGUGUCCAGCAGCUCUUUAUGAUGCUCUCUCUCUCUCUCUCUCUCUCUCUCUCUCUUUCUCUCUCACUCUCUCUCUCUCUCUCUCUCUCAUUUUCCUUUCCUAUUUUUCUGAACUGUAAUUCAUAAAUAAGUCACACAUAUUUUUCUUUCUUUCUCUUGUUCAUCAUGGCAUAUUUUCACAGCUCAGAAUCAGAUUUUGAUCAGUUCUUGUAUUAACAGGGAACUUGUACUCGAAGCUCAACUUGAAGAAGUUUCCAGUGAAGAUGAAGUCCUUCAAAGGUUCGACACAGCUGAAAAGGAAGACCAUGGGCCUGUCAAACCUUGUUUGUGGAGAGGGAUGAAUUUGACCAUCUUGUGUGUUUACGGAGAAGACCAAAAGCUGCUAAGGCAGAUAUUUCCAGAGGAUUUCUGACAGAUUACUGAGUCCUUCUCCAUCAGCUCUCCACAAUAGCAGCCCUUCCAAAAGCAUCCACAUCACUCUCUCUUGUGUGGCACAUCUGCUCUCAGUCGUUAGCAUGUCUACUUGUAUUAUUUCUCCUCUAGUCAACACUCCCAUCUCUACUGUGAACACUCCUGUCACUAUCACCAUCCCACCUACUGUAUUCUAUAUGCCAUAUAUAUAUAUAUAUAUAUA